rnacentral:rRNA from 1 species
ACGAAGGGUGCGAGCGUUAAUCGGAAUUACUGGGCGUAAAGCGCGCGUAGGUGGUUUGGUAAGCGAUAUGUGAAAUCCCCGGGCUUAACCUGGGAGCUGCAUUCGAAACUGUCUUGCUAGAGUAUGGGAGAGGGAGGUGGAAUUUCAGGUGUAGCGGUGAAAUGCGUAGAUAUCUGAAGGAACAUCAGUGGCGAAAGCGACCUCCUGGACCAAUACUGACGCUCAGGUGCGAAAGCGUGGGGAGCAAACAGGA